AAAAAUAAAAGGUACAGUCAUCUUGAUCUUACUGCUGAUAAAAUAUAUCAUUACCAUAGUCUCUGACCAGAUACUGAGAGGCAAUUAUGCUUUCAGUAAAAUAUAUUAAAAGUUAAAACUAUCCCAUUCAGUAAAUGCAUGUGGCUUGCAGAGACAUGCUGCAUAAGUAGAGGCAAUAACACAUUCUCUCUCUACUCUGAUUUCCAUGUCUCCAGGUUGUCUAGAAGACUGAAGGGAGGGAGGGACGGGGACACAUAUGCCAGUCUGCAGCUCCCCAACAUCAGCCCUGACUAUGACGUGCUGCAGGUAAAAAACAAGCAUCAGAAUGACACUGUGACUUCACAAGAAGAGAACGAUAACUACCAGAACCCUGAAGAUGGAAACAGACCAGAUUCAGGGGCUAAUUAAAAAUGUGAGCAUGUUGUGUUUCGUUUAAAGCUGAUUUAUUUUUGUUUUAAAAACAAACAAAAAAAAAACACUGAAUGUGGAGGGUCACUUCUAUCUAUGUGUCCUAAGACCAUUUUUAUGACAUACAGAGAUGUUUAGUUUUUAUCCUGGAUAAAAGAAGUUCGGUUUAUCCUCAUUUUUCAUUCUUUUUGCAGAAUCACUAUGUUUGUACACUGUACUUUACACUUUCCUUGUAAUACUUGUGCUUUAAUGACUCUACACCGUAGCUUGUCUUGUAAAUUUGGCUGCUAUCUGUUUUUGAGAACACCAAAUCAAAUUUGCAUCUUUUGAAUGUAUUUUCAAAGAAUGUUACAUUGUGCUCUAGGGAUGUGAUACGUUUUUAAAAAGUCCCUUGUCCCUCUUCUGAAUAUGGAAAGCUGGGUUUCAGUUAUUCUGCACCUUAUGGUUGGAACAGUCUGUUAAAAAUUGUAAAGGAGAAAAACUAAUACCAAUUGCUGAUUUCAGACAUGUAAUUCAUGACUCAGUGAAAUAUGCUCCUACUUUAAACCCCUGCCCUGUACUUUCUGUUAUACUACUGUCUCACUGCCUAGUUGAUGUUUGCAACUUCAUUGUGAACUGUCUCAUUGGAUAACUCUGUAUUAUAUGUCAGGUCCCCCUUGCAAAAGAGAUAUCAAUCUGAAUGGGGUGUUCUUGGUUAAAUAAAGAUUAAAUAAAUCUUUGCAUCCUUG